rnacentral:rRNA from 1 species
AUUGAACGCUGGCGGCAGGCCUAACACAUGCAAGUCGAGCGGCAGCGGGAGGAAGCUUGCUUCCUUGCCGGCGAGCGGCGGACGGGUGAGUAAGGUAUGGGGAUCUGGCCGAAGGCGGGGGAUAACCACUGGAAACGGCGGCUAAUACCGCAUAAUCUCUAAGGAGCAAAGGGGGGGACAGUUCAGGCCUCACACCUGCGGAUGAACCCAUAUGCAAUUAGCUCGUAGGUGGGGUAAUGGCUCACCUAGGCGACGAUCUCUAGCUGGUCUGAGAGGAUGAUCAGCCACACUGGGACUGAGACACGGCCCAGACUCCUACGGGAGGCAGCAGUGGGGAAUAUUGCACAAUGGGCGCAAGCCUGAUGCAGCCAUGCCGCGUGUAUGAAGAAGGCCUUCGGGUUGUAAAGUACUUUCAGUCGUGAGGAAGGUGUUAAGGUUAAUAACCUUAGCAAUUGACGUUAGCGACAGAAGAAGCACCGGCUAACUCCGUGCCAGCCGCCGCAGUAA